UUUUUUUCUAGAGAAAGAGAUAGGAAAACCAUUUCCAUGGAAGGGAAUGCGUGCGUGCGGUGUGAGGUCGGGCGCGGAGUUAGGUCAAGCCGCGGUUGCGACGCGGUGGGCGGGCGAGCCGAAACCAAGCGGCGAUCGAGGCGAGGCGUGGCGUGGCGUCCGGAGAUGUCGCAGAAGAGGCAGCCGGGGGAGAGCGACGGCCAGCGCCGCAGCGGGGGCGCCGAGCCUGGCGGGAGCUCCUCCUCUUCCACCCUGCCUUACCGCCCCGGCGAGCCGAAGCGCCCGAGGGUCGCCCUCCGCGAUGUGAUCACGGAGGUGAUGCGGAACACCAGCAUCGAGAAGUUCUUCAUGGCGAUCGAGCCCCUCAUCAGGAGAGUGGUAAAAGAAGAAAUUGAGUCAGCAUUUGCGAAUCAUGCCUCUAUGAUGGAAAGAAGUGUCACAGAUACUCUCCCAUGUACAUCAAAGAAUUUGCAGCUGCAUUUCAUGACUAGGCUAUCUCUUCCAAUAUUUACUGGCUCCAAGAUUGAAGGAGAGGGAUCCUUAAGUAUAACUGUUGCUCUAGUUGACACUUUGACGAGACAAAUUGUAGCAUCAGGCAAGGAGUCCCUGAUGAAGAUUGAGAUUGUAGUUCUAGAGGGGGAUUUUGAAAGUGGAGAAGAUGAUGACUGGACAGCUCAGGAAUUUAACAAUAACAUUGUCAAAGAAAGGGAAGGUAAAAAGCCCUUGAUUUCUGGAGACGUGUUUGUUGCCCUUAUUGAUGGCAUUGGAACAGUAGGGGAACUGUCAUUCACAGAUAACUCCAGCUGGACACGGAGCCGAAAGUUCAGGCUUGGUGCAAGAACAGAGGAUGGUUGUUUCAAUGGCAUAAGAGUACGGGAAGCAAAGUCGGAAUCAUUUGUGGUUAAGGAUCAUCGAGGAGAGUUGUACAAGAAGCACCACCCACCAUUUCUUGAAGAUGAAGUAUGGCGCCUGUUGAAAAUUGGCAAGGAUGGUGCAUUUCACAAGCGUUUGAAUAGGGAGAGCGUCCGCACUGUCAAGGAUUUCCUCACCUUGCUACAUCUUGAUGGUCCUAGGCUUCGAAAGAUAUUAGGUGGCGGCAUGUCAACAAAAAUGUGGGAGGCCACAGUGGAGCAUGCGGAAACAUGUGUUUUAACUGACAAAGUGCAUUACUAUUAUCCAGACGGUGUAAACAAAGCUGGUGUUGUAUUCAAUGUAGUUGGAGAAGUAAGAGGGUUAAUAUCUGAUAAAUUUGUUUCUGUUGAUGAUCUUACUGAACAGGAGAAGGCUGAAGCACGUGUGGCUGUGAAGCAAGCAUAUGAACACUGGAAGAACGUCUUUACAUGUGACAAUGAAACACUUGUGGAAAAUUCUUCGCAGCUGUUCAAUACGAGAUCUCCAUCUUUGCAUGAAAAUCAAUAUAACCAGUUUCCCACACAAGUUUCUACAGAUAGCUUUGUGUUGAGCCAUUCGACCCUACAAUCAUCUGACAUUUUCUCCAUGGAACCAUCCUCUUCAUUAGACCCUUGUGUACUGGAGACUGAGGAGAGCAAUGAAAAUCGAUUUCAGUCAGAGAUGCCCCUAGUUGGUGGCCAUGAAGCACCUCAAGAGUCUCAUACACUGGAUAAGUUCUCCAACUCUUUGGUUUACGAGGACUGCAGUCAUCCCCCAUUCAAUGAUAUCUAUUAUGGCCCCGUAGAUCCCAGCAUAUCCUUUGACACACAAGAUCUUGGAGCUGCACUGAAAGGUUUCAUUGCAACUAUAUCUAAGCCUAAGGCGGCAUAUAGAGGAUGGAGGAUGCUGUCUUAUGUGCUAGGAUGGAUUUUCUAUACCAAGAGAAUUGUGGCAAGGAGAAAGAAACAUGGGAAAUAAAUGUCCGAGGCUUUGUGCCUCUGCGUAGUUAAAUUGAAAAUUAUAAAUAGGGAGGAGAUUAUGUACAUUAGAGUUGUUUGCUGCCUCUUCUUUUGGGUGCAGUUGGGUUAUGGGCAAGUAUUGGUGAUGAAAAGCCGAGAUUUCUUUUUUUUUUUGUCGCGACCCGUGUAUUCUGUAUAGCAUUCUGGUAAAAUCUGCACAUUUUUUUGAUGCUGCCUUUUGUUGUAGGAAACUAGGAAUCCAGUGUUGUGCUGUGCGCGGUAAAAAGGUACUUGAGAUGGUUGUUUACUACUAGGGCAGAGCCGGUAAAAA